UAGGUAAGUCAGAGGUGAAAUCCUGGAGCUUAACUCCAGAACUGCCUUUGAUACYWWUCUWUCUUGAAUAUGGUGGAGGUAAGCGGAAUAUGUCAUGUAGCGGUGAAAUGCAUAGAUAUGACAUAGAACACCUAUUGCGAAGGCAGCUUACUACGCCUAUAUUGACGCUGAGGCACGAAAGCGUGGGGAUCAAACAGGAUUAGAUACCCUGGUAGUCCACGCCCUAAACGAUGAUUACUCGACGUAUGCGAUACACAGUAUGCGUCUGAGCGAAAGCAUUAAGUAAUCCACCUGGGAAGUACGACCGCAAGGUUGAAACUCAAAUGAAUUGACGGGG
rnacentral:rRNA from 1 species